GAAAGCAGUGUAGAAUUGUAGGCUUUUUUAGAAAUGAAAUCCCCGAAAAUUCAGCACACACAAGAAUAACAGAUGCCAGGAAAUCACAAAACAGCAUGAUGUGAUAGGAAAGGCAGAGACAGGGGGAGCCUGUAUAUUGAUAUUUGAAACAGGCUCUUUAAAAUGGAAGAUAAUAACUGAAAAUUAUUCUGAGCUGUUCAAAGGCAUAAAUGACCAAACAGCCUCCUGACUCCAGAAUUACAUUAUACAGAAAGGAACUUAAUAGCAUGCUAUUAUCACUUCUCCUCACUGACAGGAUUUCGGCAGUGAAAAGACAAACAAAAAGUGCAUUCAUAAUCGCAACCGGCUUCACCUCUGCGAAACGCCGACCACAGCUAAUUUCAGUGUAGCCUGGCCCUACCUGGUCUUCUUCAUAGACCCCCAGAACUUGAUAACUGCUGGGCAAGGAGGGAGCUGCACAGAGAAUUAUGCUCCGAAUAGCUUAAUGCAAAAUCAC
rnacentral:lncRNA from 11 species